UAGCCGUGAUGAACGCUUUUGUGCCAGAGGCGGGUGCUUCAAUAGGGCUCUGUCUGUGACGGCUACACAACCCUCUAAGAAGUUCUGAGCUUUUCUCUCCUUAUUGAUUUCUUGAUUGUUUCUUGUAGGGUUGGAAUUUGAUUUGGAAAGAAAGCGAAGUGACGAUAGAAAUUCAUGUCUGUCAAUCCCCUGACUUACUGCUUGAUGUUAACCUGAAUUGGCUGUGGUUCUGAUCGCUUUUCUUUCUCAUUUCCCAAAUCUCAACUGCACACUAAGCACAUGGAUCUGAACUGAACUGGGUUCAGUUCUGAAUUUUUGUUUUUUUUUUGUUGAAAAUGGGUUUUGUUUUUCGAAUCUGGGCAGCUGAUGAGUCUCAUGGUAUUAUGGGUAAUUUGCGUCUGAAUUCUCAUUGAUGUUUUACUUUCACCUUGGAGAACUGAUGCCCUUAAAGAUUUUUUACCUGAUUUUUUUUUCUUUCUCGGAGGUUUUUCUUUUAAUCAAUUUUUUGGAUUGAGGGAGUUUGAUGUUAUAUGAUGAAAAGAAUCAUUCGGAUUCCCAAUGAUAGCAUAUAUAUGAUAUCACAACCAGCUACUUCUGAUCACA
rnacentral:lncRNA from 1 species